GGUGAUCGCUCCUAGGUACGCUACUGAUCGCAGCCCAUCAAUGCCCCCCCAUUGUCGGUGCGGUGGGCCGUUGGGAGAAGUUUUUCUCGAUCGCAGAACAAUAGCCCAGCGAUCCUCUCCACGAAGACGAAACUCACCACAACCGGCUGGCUGGCUGGUAGUAGACGAUUGGCAAGACAGUCCAGUCUAAGUCACCGUCCGUUGUUGUUGUAACCACGCUUGUAUCGUGUUGUUCAUUUGUUCAAGUAGCUUAAGUUUUAAAGUAAGAAUAAAUUGUUAAGUCGAAAUUGUGUUUAAUUCCCUAAGUGCGUGUGUUCCUGUUUAACGGAUGACCGGCCCAACCUGCUUAUAAUUGCAUGCAGCAGUGACAAACAAAUUUGGGAUCCCACCAUCAACCCCCCUUCGAUGUUGGACGGAGGAACGUCGGCACCAGCUAUCAUCCAUUAAGCCAGACGGUAAGGUGCAGAGUGAAAAAGGUCGUUGACCCCCUACCCCCCAACAUUUUGGCCACUUCGACCGGAUUUUUCGGACCAUUUUGGAAGCCACCUGGAACGGUACAAGGAACCAUUUUCUUCGCGGGAUCGCCAUUACAACCAAGCCGCCAAGCCCAAGCUUAAUUCGCCAUUGAAAUUAAGCCAACAAUACACUCCUGCAUGCGCGCCAUUGUUUCUUGGCUUGGCUUGGUUCGACUUGGUGCAUCGGCCCAACAAUUGUGGGUUUUUUGGAUUCAUCUGCACGCAACUUCCUGGAGGCUGGCAAGUUAAAACAACACACAUCAACGCAGCGACCGGUGAUUACGAGCCACAACUCAGGUGCCAACGAAUUGGUCGUUGGUUUGGACCUCGGUGCCUUAGACUCGGAAACAAUCUCCCUGGACUAUCCGUUGGUAAGCUGCAACGAUUGGCGGCGAUUGGAACAUCGCUGUGGGCCUUUAGGUUUCCAGAUCACGGACGGUGAUUGGAACAUCAUCGUCACCAUCAUCAUCGACUGCAGCUCAGACGAGGCGAAAGGUUUCGCUACCCGAUUGCUGUUUUGACGAUCAAUUGGUUCGAUGUCAGUGGUGCUCAACCUGCGUUAUCAAGCGAUUUGAAAUUUAAAGUAAGUUAAAUGAAAUCGGGAAAAAUAUUUAUUUUCACUUGGAAAAAAUAUAAUUCUAACGCUAAUUAAUCCUCUUCAACCCAAACACUAUUACCUGAGCCCUGGCGUCAUAGGACAAGAGGUCCAUGACUCGAAGUUUUUCUGUCUGACGGAUUGUUUGGGUUGCUUCAUGGUGCGUUUGCCCAGGGAUUCUGUUAAGAGGAUUUUCUUUUUAUUUCAGAAAUCGAGCUAUUUCUGGGUGGGUGAGGAUGUACGAAGGUGAUCGCUCCUAGGUACGCUACUGAUCGCAGCCCAUCAAUGCCCCCCCAUUGUCGGUGCGGUGGGCCGUUGGGAGAAGUUUUUCUCGAUCGCAGAACAAUAGCCCAGCGAUCCUCUCCACGAAGACGAAACUCACCACAACCGGCUGGCUGGCUGGUAGUAGACGAUUGGCAAGACAGUCCAGUCUAAGUCACCGUCCGUUGUUGUUGUAACCACGCUUGUAUCGUGUUGUUCAUUUGUUCAAGUAGCUUAAGUUUUAAAGUAAGAAUAAAUUGUUAAGUCGAAAUUGUGUUUAAUUCCCUAA